UACGUAGGGUCCGAGCGUUAAUCGGAAUUACUGGGCGUAAAGCGUGCGCAGGCGGUUUUGUACGCCAGAUGUGAAAGCCCCGGGCUUAACCUGGGAAUGGCAUUUGGGACUGCAAGGCUGGAGUACGGCAGAGGGAGGUGGAAUUCCAGGUGUAGCAGUGAAAUGCGUAGAUAUCUGGAGGAACACCGAUGGCGAAGGCAGCCUCCUGGGCUAGUACUGACGCUCAUGCACGAAAGCGUGGGGAGCAAACAGG
rnacentral:rRNA from 1 species